GACGUAGGUGGCGAGCGUUGUUCGGAAUCACUGGGCAUAAAGCGCACGUAGGCGGCCAAGUCAGUCAGGUGUGAAAUACCUCGGCUCAACCGAGGAACUGCGCCUGAUACUGCUUGGCUUGAGGUCCGGAAAGGAGAGUGGAAUUCCCGGUGGAGCGGUGAAAUGCGUAGAGAUCGGGAAGAACGCCGGCGGCGAAAGCGACUCUCUGGUCGGAAUCUGACGCUGAGGUGCGAAAGCUAGGGGAGCAAACGGG
rnacentral:rRNA from 1 species